rnacentral:piRNA from 1 species
UAAGGCCGAAAUUACAAAAAA